GAUCUCACAGAGCAGAUCAGCGCGGGUGUCCAGCGCCCCGAUGUGGGCAGUCGGGGCUAGCCGCUGGGGCAGGCUGCCCCCAGCAAGAGGAGCGGCCGCUCCAAACCACAAAAUCUCCAACGCCGGACAGCGCGGCCUCGGUCACCAUACGCUACAGGCAUCCUGCAGGCCAUCGCGUGUGGUGGAGCGUCCGGCGCUUAUCGUGGUCAGUCCCCCUCUACGCCACCGUCCGAUUCCCCCGACGCCCCCGCCGACCCCGGAGCUUGCCCUCAGCCCCUUCAUCUGCCGAGGCAUACCCUUGCUGCCCAUCCCACCCAGGGAUCGCCACCUCUGCCCUCUACCAGGCUCCGGGCCCGGUGCCGAGGACUGGCCGCCAAGGGUUGCGGACUAUGGCCCUAAAGCUCAUCCACAAGGAGUUCCUCGAACUGGCCCGCGACCCCCAGCCCCACUGCUCAGCAGGGCCAGUGUGGGACGAUAUGCUCCACUGGCAGGCCACCAUAACGAGGCCCAACGACAGCUCCUACCUGGGAGGGGUCUUCUUCCUAAAGUUUCCCUCCGACUACCUAUUCAAACCACCCAAGAUCAAAUUUACCAACGGAAUUUACCAUCAACGUUAACGGAAAUACGCGACAGGAGGGAGUAUGGCAGAAUAGCUAAAGACUGGACUCAGUAGUGUACCAUGUAAUUUCAAAAUAUAAUUCCAUCGCCUUAAUAAUAAAGAUGCAGAAAGUGGCAGUUCA